CCUACGGGAGGCAGCAGUGGGGAAUUUUGGGCAAUGGGCGCAAGCCUGACCCAGCAAUGCCGCGUGAGGGAAGAAGGUCUUCGGAUUGUAAACCUCUGUCCUAGGGGACGAAAAAAAUGACGGGACCCAAGGAGGAGCUCCGGCUAACUACGUGCCAGCAGCCGCGGUAA
rnacentral:rRNA from 1 species